AAAAGUACCUGUUACUCUUUGGGUUUUGUGUCAGUAAAGAUAUCACAUGGCUUGUGACAGCCAAGCAUUCAUGGUGGCAUCACUUUUUGAUUCUCCACUAUUUUCUUCUCCUAUCAUUAUGCAACAUAAUUCACCAAGUGUUAGAUUGUCCACUUAAUGAUAUGUGAUGUAAAAGAUGUGUUGUCACAAUAGUAU